rnacentral:tRNA from 1 species
GCAAAGGUGGCUGAGUUGGUCUAAGGCGCACGACUGGAAAUCGUGUGUUCGGCUAAUAACCGACCGAGAGUUCGAAUCUCUCCCUUUGCGCCA